UGCUCUCUGACCUUCUCGCCCCUAAGCAUCCUGGAUAAUCCCUUGGAUAAACAGCUUUUCCAUGAUUCAUGCGCAGAGGAGUUUUCUGUCCAUUAAACUGUAUAAGGAAGACGAUGGUCUUUGCCCUGGCAAGGACACAGCUGGACAGCAAAUCACCAUAUGCGCGGACUAACAAAUAUACGAUACAGAGGGGCUGCCCGGCCACUUCCAUACAAUCCCACAUGGUCUCGAUCCAUUCGCCGCACAGCACCCGGAACACAAUCAGGAAGGAGUGGAAGAAGUCCUUCAUGU